CGCGCAGGCGGCCAUCCAAGUCAGGGGUGAAAGCCCGGAGCUCAACUCCGGAACUGCCUUUGAAACUGUUUGGCUUGAGUACGGGAGAGGUGAGUGGAAUUCCCAGUGUAGAGGUGAAAUUCGUAGAUAUUGGGAAGAACACCGGUGGCGAAGGCGGCUCACUGGCCCGUUUCUGACGCUCAUGCGCGACAGCGUGGGGAUCAAACAGGAUUAGAUACCCUGGUAGUCCACGCCGUAAACGAUGGAUGCUAGCCGUUGGCGAGCUUGCUCGUCAGUGGCGCAGCUAACGCAUUAAGCAUCCCGCCUGGGGAGUACGGCCGCAAGGUUGAA
rnacentral:rRNA from 1 species